rnacentral:rRNA from 1 species
UACAGAGGGUGCAAGCGUUUGUUCGGAAUUAUUGGGCGUAAAGGGCGCGUAGGCGGCCCGCUAAGUCGAACGUGAAAUCCCCGGGCUCAACCCGGGAACUGCGUCCGAUACUGGUGGGCUCGAAUCCGGGAGAGGGAUGCGGAAUUCCAGGUGUAGCGGUGAAAUGCGUAGAUAUCUGGAGGAACACCGGUGGCGAAGGCGGCAUCCUGGACCGGUAUUGACGCUGAGGCGCGAAAAGCUAGGGGAGCAAACAGGG